UAAGCCGUUGAAGGUGUCCUGUGAGGGGUGCUGGAGGUAUCAGAAGUGCGAAUGCUGACAUAAGUAACGAUAAAGCGGGUGAAAAGCCCGCUCGCCGGAAGACCAAGGGUUCCUGUCCAACGUUAAUCGGGGCAGGGUGAGUCGACCCCUAAGGCGAGGCCGAAAGGCGUAGUCGAUGGGAAACGGGUUAAUAUUCCCGUACUUGGUGUUACUGCGAAGGGGGGACGGAGAAGGCUAUGUUGGCCGGGCGACGGUUGUCCCGGUUUAAGCGUGUAGGUGUGUGUUCCAGGUAAAUCCGGUUCACUUUAACACUGAGGCGUGAUGACGAGGCACCACGGUGCUGAAGCAACAAAUGCCCUGCUUCCAGGAAAAGCCUCUAAGCAUCAGGUAACAUCAAAUCGUACCCCAAACCGACACAGGUGGUCAGGUAGAGAAUACCAAGGCGCUUGAGAGAACUCGGGUGAAGGAACUAGGCAAAAUGGUGCCGUAACUUCGGGAGAAGGCACGCUGACACGUAGGUGAAGUGAUUUACUCAUGGAGCUGAAGUCAGUCGAAGAUACCAGCUGGCUGCAACUGUUUAUUAAAAACACAGCACUGUGCAAACACGAAAGUGGACGUAUACGGUGUGACGCCUGCCCGGUGCCGGAAGGUUAAUUGAUGGGGUCAGCGCAAGCGAAGCUCCUGAUCGAAGCCCCGGUAAACGGCGGCCGUAACUAUAACGGUCCUAAGGUAGCGAAAUUCCUUGUCGGGUAAGUUCCGACCUGCACGAAUGGCGUAAUGAUGGCCAGGCUGUCUCCACCCGAGACUCAGUGAAAUUGAACUCGCUGUGAAGAUGCAGUGUACCCGCGGCAAGACGGAAAGACCCCGUGAACCUUUACUAUAGCUUGACACUGAACAUUGAGCCUUGAUGUGUAGGAUAGGUGGGAGGCUUUGAAGCGUGGACGCCAGUCUGCGUGGAGCCGACCUUGAAAUACCACCCUUUAAUGUUUGAUGUUCUAACGUGGACCCGUAAUCCGGGUUGCGGACAGUGUCUGGUGGGUAGUUUGACUGGGGCGGUCUCCUCCUAAAGAGUAACGGAGGAGCACGAAGGUUGGCUAAUCCUGGUCGGACAUCAGGAGGUUAGUGCAAUGGCAUAAGCCAGCUUGACUGCGAGCGUGACGGCGCGAGCAGGUGCGAAAGCAGGUCAUAGUGAUCCGGUGGUUCUGAAUGGAAGGGCCAUCGCUCAACGGAUAAAAGGUACUCCGGGGAUAACAGGCUGAUACCGCCCAAGAGUUCAUAUCGACGGCGGUGUUUGGCACCUCGAUGUCGGCUCAUCACAUCCUGGGGCUGAAGUAGGUCCCAAGGGUAUGGCUGUUCGCCAUUUAAAGUGGUACGCGAGCUGGGUUUAGAACGUCGUGAGACAGUUCGGUCCCUAUCUGCCGUGGGCGCUGGAAGACUGAGGGGGGCUGCUCCUAGUACGAGAGGACCGGAGUGGACGCAUCACUGGUGUUCGGGUUGUCAUGCCAAUGGCACUGCCCGGUAGCUAAAUGCGGAAAAGAUAAGUGCUGAAAGCAUCUAAGCACGAAACUUGCCCCGAGAUGAGUCUUCCCUGAGACCUUGAGUCUCCUGAAGGAACGUUAAAGACGAUGACGUUGAUAGGCCGGGUGUGUAAGCGCAGCGAUGCGUUGAGCUAACCGGUAC
rnacentral:rRNA from 1 species